UACAGAGAGUGCAAGCGUUAAUCGGAAUUACUGGGCGUAAAGCGCGCGUAGGUGGAUGUUUAAGUCGGAUGUGAAAGCCCUGGGCUCAACCUAGGAACUGCAUUCGAAACUGGACAUCUAGAGUAUAGUAGAGGGAAGUGGAAUUUCAGGUGUAGCGGUGAAAUGCGUAGAUAUCUGAAAGAACACCAGUGGCGAAGGCGGCUUCCUGGACUAAUACUGACACUGAGGUGCGAAAGCGUGGGGAGCAAACAGG
rnacentral:rRNA from 1 species